AUAAAAAUAUCUUUGCAGUUGAACUUUGGAUUUCAUUCAUUCAAACUUAUAUCAAGAAAAAAAAUAAACUAGAAGUUAUAACUCUUAAAUACUUACGAAUUUAUUGUCAACGUCUUUAUUUUUUUGAUGAUAAACAGAUUAAAUAAACAGAAUUAAAAUGCAACUGACACACUAGUGUGAAAUAAUUUAAAUCCACUUUAGUACUGUACACUAAUACUAAUGUAAUACAAUGCAAAUUUAGGCCUCUGAACUUCCUAAUAUAUAAUGCAAACACUUAACACCUUCACGAAUACAAAUUAAUUAAUUUAAUACUAAUAAAUAUUUACUUAAAUAU